UCCUAUAAAAUAAAGCUCUUCAAUGUGCCACGCUCAUCAACAAGUGGACAAGUGGAGCAGAAAACCUCUGAACUGCAUCUGAUAAAGGGCAGCUGGACCAGCGAAUUCAGCUGGCUGCAGAAAGGAAGAUGAAAGGCCUGUUCUGGGUGACUGUGGUCUUCUUCCUGUCUGUUGAAAACACCUCGGCUGCUGUAGACCAGAAAUGGCUUACAGAUAUUGUGCAAACCAUCAAGAAUAAGUAUCAGUUGGGUGACACUUCCAGUUGGGCUGUAAAUAUACCACAGAACCAAGAUCCAAGCCAUCUGAUGGAAGUUCUGCAGGAAGACCCACCAGAUGCAGUGAAAAUAGCAGUUUCAAAGAGUGACGUGUAUCAAGGCAAAAGAAUGACAGUAUCAACACAGUCAGUUGCAAUACCCCAUGUGUUAGAGAAAAUAAAAGUCAGCCAAACAGGAAACCAGGGCAACACCAUCAUAAUCUAUUCUGAAAAAUACCAAAAUAUAAAUGAGAAUGGCAUUGCUGCCAACAUUAACAAAAUCAUUCAUAGUUGGGGACGUUACGCCUUUGUAUUUUCCAAAGUAGUUGAUGUUGCUGAUGCUGGGAUACCUGCCAGGGCUGAGCUCUUUAAGCAGCAGGAACUUUCCAAAUUUGGGCUAGAAAAUAUAUUUCGUUGUUAUGAACCUGGUGGUUCUUUCCAGUGCACAAGCUGCGGCUCUGUUGAAAAUGUUGCUCCUUCUUGUCUUGUAAACACACCACCAUCAAAUGACGUCACAGAGUUGGAAAAACGCAGAUUUAAAGAAGCUAGAGGAGGUGGAAGAAAGAGGAGAGGAGGAAGACGUAGGAAAGGUGGCGAGG